rnacentral:rRNA from 1 species
GACGAACGCUGGCGGCGUGCUUAACACAUGCAAGUCGAACGGGAAGUCCUUUCUUUUGUGGGGUGCUCGAGUGUCGCACGUGUGAAUCUCCCGUUAGUAACCUGCCCUUGACUUUGGGAUAACUUCAGUACACUGUGGCUAAUACCGCAUAGGAGCUCCUGCUCCCUGGUGGGGGUUUGAAUGUUUGGGCGUUUGGGGAUGGGCUCGCGGCUUAUCAGCUUGUUGGUGGGGUAGUGUCUGACCAAGUCUUUGACGGGUAGCCGGCCUGAGAGGGUGACCGGCAACAUCGGGAGUGAGGAGCGGCCCAGAAGACUACGGGAGGAAGCAGUGGGGAAUAUUGCACAAUGGGCGGAAGAAGGAUGAAGGAACGACGCGGGCGGGAUGAAGGACGUCGGGGGGUAAACCGCUGUCGCCUGUGAAGAAGAGUGAGUGACGGUAAUGGGUAAAGAAGCACCGGCUAACUACGUG